rnacentral:tRNA from 1 species
AAAGUGAGAGCUUGUUUAAUAAAAGCACUUUACUUACGUUGAAGAAUAAAUUGUGGAAGUCAAUUCACUUUA